rnacentral:lncRNA from 1 species
GCCGAGCAGAGGGCAUUGCUUUUCAAAUAGAGAUAGGGCGCAGCCAGGCACCUGUACACAGGAAGGGACUUCAGGGGAGGUGACCCGCCCUGCAGGAGGGACAGCCUGUGUCUGAUCCCUGGUGCUGGCUGCUGGGUUCCCCAGGGACGUUUUCCACCUCCCCAGACAAGUACCGGCUGCUGCCCGCCUGCUGGGCUGACCUCCUGGGCCCAGAAGCUGCAGGGCUUUGGGGAUAUUUAAUUCUGGAAACGUUCCCAUGGAAGUCCUAUGUUACAAUGUGGACAGGACGGCUUGAGAUGCUGGUCUAUAAAUGGUUGAUAAAAUGGAAGGCUUUUGGAUGACUCCUGUUUAUGGACUGGAAAUUCGGAAGGCCGGGAUGAGGCGCUGGUUGGACACGUGCAGACCAUUUGUCCCAAACCCAGUGAGAAAUGGACCUGGGCAUCAAGUAGGGAUGGAGAGCUGAUUUCCACUCCCGGAGGAAGCCGUCUGGACUGGAGUCCACGCAGUUUCACGCACUUCCCUCUGAAUGAGAUGGACCUGGAGGCCCAGCCUCAGUGGUUCACUUCCGCUUUGUGGGAGGAACAUAAAAUAGAACACAAAUUUCCAUGGGCAGCUGGACCCAAAAUGGGAAAGGCCACGGCGGGAGGAACUCUGGACGUGAACUCGUCCUAGGAGAGGAAUGUGCACCAAUGGAGCCCCCACUCUCCAUUCACUGAAAAGAUAUACAAGGAAUGUUUGGGAGGAGGAAGUAACGGUUAGGGUAAAGAGAUGCAGAGAGCUACAAGGCUGAGCGUUUGAAGCGUUUGUGCUGGAACAGAGGGAGCCGGUCAUUUCAGGUGUUGAAAGCUUACCUGAAGUCUACUUUUGCUUAAAGAUAUCGGAGUCACGGUAGCUUUCGCCCCGAGGAGACCAGGUUGGUAUGGGGUACCUGUGUGUCCGUUGGCUUAUCUUGGGGUGGCCCUGGGGUGGACAAAGUCGCAUCCAUUUUGGGUUCCCUUGUGGAGAGGGCAGGUGUGAUGGCAGCUGUUGAAGACUUACCAGGUAGGUCUUCCUGAUUUGGGGCCAAUCCCUGUAUGUUAGCUGGAAACCUCAGCACCCUCAUUAAUAAGAAAGGUCAAUAAUAACAUCUACCUGUGGGAUGCGGUGGGACCCGGGAGAUCAGGUGUGUAAAGUGAUGUUCUGGCACAUAAUUCAAAACAAUUUAAAUAUGCAUUUCUUUGACACCCACAUUGAGAUAGUUUGUAGCAAGCUUUAGACUUUACAAAUAUUGUUUCCUAGUUUGAAGUCACCCUGUGAAUUGGAUAAGAAAUAUCCUUGUAACUCAUGGGGAAAAAAGAUGUGCACCUGUGGAAG